GACGAACGCUGGCGGCGUGCUUAACACAUGCAAGUCGAACGGAAAGGCCCUGCUUUUGUGGGGUGCUCGAGUGGCGAACGGGUGAGUAACACGUGAGUAACCUGCCCUUGACUUUGGGAUAACUUCAGGAAACUGGGGCUAAUACCGGAUAGGAGCUCCUGCUGCAUGGUGGGGGUUGGAAAGUUUCGGCGGUUGGGGAUGGACUCGCGGCUUAUCAGCUUGUUGGUGGGGUAGUGGCUUACCAAGGCUUUGACGGGUAGCCGGCCUGAGAGGGUGACCGGCCACAUUGGGACUGAGAUACGGCCCAGACUCCUACGGGGGGCAGCAGUGGGGAAUAUUGCACAAUGGGCGGAAGCCUGAUGCAGCAACGCCGCGUGCGGGAUGACGGCCUUCGGGUUGUAAACCGCUUUCGCCUGUGACGAAGCGUGAGUGACGGUAAUGGGUAAAGAAGCACCGGCUAACUACAUG
rnacentral:rRNA from 1 species